rnacentral:lncRNA from 1 species
AAGUAUUUUAGAACAUUCAUCCUUUCAUACACAGAAGUAAGGGUCUAAAACAAAUUCUCACUCAAAUCACAAAAAGAAAGUGAAUUGAGAUAUUCAUGUCUUUAACUGCACACACAUUUGUUUGUAACAUCUGAUUCUUUGCCUUGUAAGUCUUCAUAUGAUAAAUGUCAUACAAAUGCUAGUCAGAUACAUCCACUCUUUGUAAUAACAAUCAAAUAUGAAUUAUUGUCUCAUGAUUCAGUGCUGUACUUAGAACAUUCAUUUAAAGGUGAACUCUUUGUCGCUGUGAUUCCUCUUCCUGAACUUCUCUCAGCAUACUG